UGGAUGCAGACAGGCAUGGGACAGAGA
rnacentral:piRNA from 1 species